rnacentral:lncRNA from 1 species
AUAAAAAGUGAUAACUUUUAGAUGAAGUAACAUAACAGAAAGUGAUAACUUUUAGAUAAACUGAUAUGUAAAAAACGGUAGCUUUUAAAUGAAGUGACAUAAAAGAAAGUGACAACUUUUACAGAAAGUGACAACUUUUAGAAAAAGUGGCAGAUGAAAAGUGGUGACCUUUUAGAUAAAUCGUCAUGUGAAAAGUGAAAAGCUUUU